GACAUUCUGCAGAGUGAGAUAGGUGAGCGUCUCUUGCCACCAAGAAAUGCUUGGGUGCAGUGUGAUGAUUGCCUCAAAUGGAGGCGUAUACCUUCCUUGCUUGCUGAUCAAAUUGAAGAAACAAAUUGCAGAUGUCUCCUACCAAUUUUGAAGGAUUUGUAAGGACAAUCUGGAUAGAGCUUUUGCUGAUUGCUCAUUUCCCCAAGAGAAGUCAAAUUCAGAAAUCAAUGCCGAGCUGGAAAUAUCAGAUGUCUCUGGUGAGGAAGAUGUUUCUCGUGCACACUUGAGUUUGAAUGGAUCAGGACAGAAGAAUCUACUUGGGGCUCAUCAAUCAUCUUGGAAUCGGAUCAAGUCAAACUUGUUUCUGCAUCGCCACCGCAAAAAUCAACCUAUUGAUGAGAUCAUGGUUUGCCUUUGCAAGCCACCUGCAGAUGGUCGAAUGGGCUGU
rnacentral:misc_RNA from 1 species